rnacentral:tRNA from 1 species
ACCCGUCUAGCUCAGUCGGUAGAGCGCUGGCCUAUUAAGCCAGUGGUCGUGGGUUCGGGGCCCCACGGGGGGUG